CGCAAAAGAAAAACAAAAGAUUGUGUGAAAGUUAAUUAUUAUCUCAAAGAGAGCGAAACCGACAUAAAACCACACUAUUGUUGCCUUUUUUGGUUGAAGAUCGGCAUGCAAUCAACGGAGAUAUAACAUCUUUCCAUCAAUGCUUUCCUUGGAAUGAUAUAUGAAGCAAAUCGACGACGACAAAUAUGUUAGAAAAAUCAAUUUUACAUAUGUGGCUCCGGCCAAUUUUCCGACGACUUUUCCGGUGAUGUUCGUGAGCUAGUUUGGAUUACGGAAAGAGAUCAAAUCUUGCCUUCACUCGUUUUCGAAA